UACGGGGGGGGCAAGCGUUGUUCGGAAUUACUGGGCGUAAAGGGCUCGUAGGCGGCCAACUAAGUCAUACGUGAAAUCCCUCGGCUUAACCGGGGAACUGCGGCUGAUACUGGAUGGCUUGAGUUCGGGAGAGGGAUGCGGAAUUCCAGGUGUAGCGGUGAAAUGCGUAGAUAUCUGGAGGAACACCGGUGGCGAAGGCGGCAUCCUGGACCGAUACUGACGCUGAGGAGCGAAAGCCAGGGGAGCAAACGGG
rnacentral:rRNA from 1 species